ensembl:misc_RNA Metazoa_SRP Metazoan signal recognition particle RNA
GCUGGGCGUGGUGGCUCAUGCCUGUAAUCCCAUUACUUUGGGAGGCUGAGGUGGGUGGAUCAUCUGAGGUCAGGAGUUUGAGACCAGCCUGACCAACAUGGAGAAACCCCAUCUCUA